CUAAGCCAGUGGUGAACUCCACAUACGCAUCCUUUGCUGAGGAUACGGUUAACGGAGCGAAAGCGACGUUCAACCGCAAAAGAAGCAGAGGGGGCUUAGUGGUGGGGUGACUGCGUACCUUUUGUAUAAUGGGUCAGCGACUUAUAUUCUGUAGCAAGGUUAACCGAAUAGGGGAGCCGGAGGGAAACCGAGUCUUAACCGGGCGUUAAGUUGCAGGGUAUAGACCCGAAACCCGGUGAUCUAGCCAUGGGCAGGUUGAAGGUUGGGUAACACUAACUGGAGGACCGAACCGACUAAUGUUGAAAAAUUAGCGGAUGACCUGUGGCUGGGGGUGAAAGGCCAAUCAAACCGGGAGAUAGCUGGUUCUCCCCGAAAGCUAUUUAGGUAGCGCCUCGUGAAUUCAUCUCCGGGGGUAGAGCACUGUUUCGGCUAGGGGGCCAUCCCGGCUUACCAACCCGAUGCAAACUGCGAAUACCGGAGAAUGUUAUCACGGGAGACACACGGCGGGUGCUAACGUCCGUCGUGAAGAGGGAAACAACCCAGACCGCCAGCUAAGGUCCCAAAGUCAUGGUUAAGUGGGAAACGAUGUGGGAAGGCCCAGACAGCCAGGAUGUUGGCUUAGAAGCAGCCAUCAUUUAAAGAAAGCGUAAUAGCUCACUGGUCGAGUCGGCCUGCGCGGAAGAUGUAACGGGGCUAAACCAUGCACCGAAGCUGCGGCAGCGAACGUAUCACUUAAAGCGAUUCAGCGGGUUACGAUUGACGGAGCGAAGCGACGUCAAAGCGUAUACAAAGUCGAGUCGGUUUAAGGAUACGUUCGUUGGGUAGGGGAGCGUUCUGUAAGCCUGUGAAGGUGGCCUGU
rnacentral:rRNA from 1 species